UACGUAGGUGGCAAGCGUUGUCCGGAAUUAUUGGGCGUAAAGCGCGCGCAGGCGGUCCUUUAAGUCUGAUGUGAAAGCCCACGGCUCAACCGUGGAGGGUCAUUGGAAACUGGGGGACUUGAGUGCAGAAGAGGAAAGCGGAAUUCCACGUGUAGCGGUGAAAUGCGUAGAGAUGUGGAGGAACACCAGUGGCGAAGGCGGCUUUCUGGUCUGUAACUGACGCUGAGGCGCGAAAGCGUGGGGAGCAAACAGGA
rnacentral:rRNA from 1 species